CCUACGGGAGGCAGCAGUGGGGAAUAUUGGGCAAUGGGCGCAAGCCUGACCCAGCAACGCCGCGUGAAGGAAGAAGGCUUUCGGGUUGUAAACUUCUUUUGUCAGGGAAGAGUAGAAGACGGUACCUGACGCCUCAGCCACGGCUAACUACGUGCCAGCAGCCGCGGUAAUACGUAGGUGGCAAGCGUUGUCCGGCUUUACUGGGUGUAAAGGGCGUGUAGCCGGGUUGACAAGUCAGAUGUGAAAUCCUGCGGCUUAACCGCAGAACUGCAUUUGAAACUGUUGAUCUUGAGUACGGGAGAGGCAGACGGAAUUCCUAGUGUAGCGGUGAAAUGCGUAGAGAUCGGGAGGAACACCAGUGGCGAAGGCGGCCUGCUGGGCUGUAACUGACGCUGAAGCACGAAAGCGUGGGUAGCAAACAGGAUUAGAUACCCCAGUAGUC
rnacentral:rRNA from 1 species